UACGAAGGGGGCUAGCGUUGCUCGGAUUGGCUGGGCGUAAAGGGCGCGUAGGCGGUUCGUACAGUCAGACGUGAAAUUCCUGGGCUCAACCUGGGGGCUGCGUUUGAUACGUGCGGACUUGAGUGCGGAAGAGGGUCGUGGAAUUCCCAGUGUAGAGGUGAAAUUCGUAGAUAUUGGGAAGAACACCGGUGGCGAAGGCGGGUCUCUGGGCAGUAACUGACGCUGAGGAGCGAAAGCGUGGGAGCGAACAGG
rnacentral:rRNA from 1 species